AGGAGCUGUCCUUAGUACGAGAGGACCGGGAUGGACCAACCUCUGGUGCACCAGUUGUCACGCCAGUGGCACAGCUGGGUAGCUAUGUUGGGACUGGAUAAACGCUGAAAGCAUCUAAGCGUGAAGCCAACCUCAAGAUGAGAUUUCCCAUAGCGUAAGCUAGUAAGACUCCUGGAAGAACACCAGGUUGAUAGGUCAGAGAUGUAAGCAUGGCAACAUGUUAAGUUGACUGAUACUAAUAAGUCGAGGGCUUGACCAAAA
rnacentral:rRNA from 2 species